rnacentral:rRNA from 1 species
UACAGAGGGGGCAAGCGUUAUUCGGAAUUAUUGGGCGUAAAGAGCGUGUAGGCGGUCCGGUAAGUCCGCUGUGAAAGUCGGGGGCUCAACCCUCGAAUGCCGGUGGAUACUGUCGGGCUAGAGUGCGGAAGAGGCGAGUGGAAUUCCUGGUGUAGCGGUGAAAUGCGCAGAUAUCAGGAGGAACACCUAUUGCGAAGGCAGCUCGCUGGGACGUUACUGACGCUGAGACGCGAAAGCGUGGGGAGCAAACAGG